AGGGGCUCUGAAUCCGCAAGAGGCUCCAUUAAUAGCCUACACUCCAUCCUAACUAUUAUCCACCAUAAAGUGUUUAUAAAGAGCACACAAUCUCGGCUAGUGUUAUUUCUAAUGAGGCAUCAUGGUACAGCCGCCUGAUGCGGCAAGCGCCGAGGAGCACGGUGAAGGAGAGGAGGAAAAGUCUGAAAUUUGCUUUACACUGAGCCCGAUAGAGGGUGCGGUGAUAAUCACAGCAUAACUUGGAUGCCAUGAAAUCUGGCACAGCCUGUGUGCGCUCCGUCUGCAGCCAGGCGUCGGACUUAUUAUUCAUCCUACACCGGCUUCAGUUCAGGCUGUAAAGGUUUGGACCGGAUCAAGGAAGAAACUGGAUUAAAAAAAAAAACCCCAAAACAAAUCUCCCAGCCGUUCCACUCCUGCUUUGACUAAUUCCGGGUCUGACAUGAUGAUGCAAAGCAAAGCUGUUUAUACAGUCUAGCGGAUCACAAUGCAAACAAGUCCUGCGGGUUGUCAAAUCAGUUUGGACGAAGAACGUGAUGAAGUGCGGUGCAGCGGUGACAGAUGCAAGUUUAUUAAAGGAUUGGAGUCUCGGAGGGAUUCGAGGUGUUAUUUUACAGCACGCAGAACCUGAACUGAGCCGCUUCAGCUUGUUUACAUUAGCUGUGGCGGAAACAAAGUAUGAGCAAAGUAAAUGCAGAGCAUCAGGAUGCAAUGUGGUAAAUCCCCCCCCCCCAAAAGAAAACUAUUUAAACGCUACACACCACCACGGGUCAAACUUUACUCAGGCAAACAGUGUAAACGACGAGAUUUCCCGCUUCCUCAAACAACCUUGGUAAAAAUCCUUCCCAACUUGGCUGAAUAAAGUGACAUAUUUCACGUUUCAAAAUACCAGCAUCUCUGACACGCACAUUCCUUCCCUCUCCUCCUCCCUUGCCUUUUGUUUUCCUUGACACGUGCGCGCCAAUUAGCAUUUUUCAGCCAUUAAGGAGGAAAGAGAAGCAGCCAAAUGUUUGUCUCUCCCAGCUCUUUUUCCGACAAGAGUUUUCGAAUGUCAGUGAGGGAGGGGGGGGAGAACAUUCAGACAGAAUGUGGAAUAUUAUCCUCAGUGUUAACAUUAUCUUCUUCACAUAACAAUUACCAGUAGCUUUGUCUGGGAAACUGGUGUGACAAUGCAACCAAUUGGGUUUACGAGAGCAGUCGUCAGUCCACAUUUAGAGCAAUUUAAAAUGAUUUUCAGUGAGAGUACACAAGCAGUCGGGAUUACUUUCAUCUCCAGUGACGUCAUGUAAACCUGUAUAACAUUUUAUUUGAUGAAUUUUUUAUAUUUUGACUUCUGAGCACAAUCAGCUCCUUUCAACCGCGUCCGUUAAAACCUACAACAGUCUGCAAGAACUACAUCUUAAUGCUAACUCGGGCAGUAAGACUAUAGAUAGAUAGAAAUCGAGCCUUUUUGUCAUCAGGUCCUCUCGUGUGUCAAAUUAGGGCGUCCUAAUCUUUUCCUUUUACUCUUGAAUUUAAAUCUGCGAAUCUCAUAUUGCACACAUCCCUCGCUGCGGGGCUUUCGGCUGCUAAAAUCUGUCACCGCAGCUGGUGUAUCGUACAUUAAGGGAGAAAAUGCUCUUAAAAAGGUGCUUUUCUGACAUUAACAUGACUUGUGUGCAUAGCGCCGGUCGAUCUGUGUAGUUUGAGGCAUAUAUUUAUGAAUAGGAACCUUUAAUUAGGGCUUGUGUUUCCUCCCUAGUCACAUUGAGGGAUGGUCCUCGCCGACAUUCAUUAAUGAUAAUCACCAAGAGCGAUGGCAUAGCUACAGGCCAAGUCUCAGGGGAGCCGACACUUGAAAAGAAGCAUUAAAUUACACAGAGGGACUCUUUAAUUGCAAAAAGGAAAAUAUAUAGCCAUCAUUGUUAAAUAUGAUCUUUUGUAAGCCUUUACUGGUUCAAGGAUUUGUCCCAGGGUUUUCUUAUCCUCACAUUCGUUUAAACGAAUCUAGGGCCGCAGUUUAGCCGUAAUACGCCACAGAACCUUUGCGCAUCCAGAUUUUCGCCUCGGUUUUAUGUAUCGCAAACAAAGCACCAGCUGUAAAUAAAUCUACAGCAAAAUCCGAAACCUUGGCAAACCUGCACGUGGAGACGAACAAAUCUCAAAGAUUAUUAAUGCAAAAAUAUCUACGUUGUGUUUUUGAAAGUGCCUGAAAUUGUACAUCGGCUUUCGCUACUUAAACGUGUCUGCGAUUCAAGCGGAGCAUGUGAGCAGUGGAAACAGGCUGUCAGGGAGGCAAAUAAAGGAGAAAAAGUGUUUCUGUUCCCAGAUUCUGUCGUUUGGCAAUAAAAUGGUCUUGAUAUAAAUAAAUAAAUAAAAGUUAUGCAUGAACACACACACACACGCAUACUCAUACACACCCAAACUCCUGACCUAAUUGCUCAGUCUCAUUCAACUAAUUAAUCACAGCUGACUUAACAUGGUGACAAGGUUAGGUAGGUGACAUUCUCCAAAAAAUCCUGUCUUUCUGUCUCCUCUGUUGCUUUUUCCCCUUUUUAGCCUUAUUUAUUAACCAUUUUACCCCUUCUCUAAGAUUUUUUUUAAACAGGUUUGUCUUUUUUAAAUAUUUUCUGUUCUUUUCACUUCCAUUCUUCUUUCCAUCUUCCUGCCCUUUGUGUAGUUUUUGUCUCUCUUUCUGUCCUUCCCAUCUCUGCCCCCCCCUCACCAUCAAAUCAUGUCUAGCAAAGGAGUAAAUGGAGAGCAUAACUUGGCCCACAUCUAUUUUUACCUGUUAUUGAAGGUGGAUGUGUGGGGGGCCCUAGCAGAGGUGAGAGUGGGCAUGCUCGGGAAAGAGGUGUGUGUGUGUUGGUGGUGGUGGGGGGUUAGGGGCGGGGUCACAAUGCUCCAUUAAUCAAAAAGAAUGACACUCAUGUCGUCCGUGACAACCAUCCUGCCACCCGUACGUCUCUUCCCCUCCUCCUCCAUCCCACUCAAACGGGACAACUUUAGUGAUGGGGAGGGCGAGGAGGAAGAAGAAGUAGAAGAAGAAGAGAAUGAGAGGGGGGUGGGGUGGGCGAACUUUAUUAAUCAAGCAUCUCAGAUUAAUUGUUAUGAAGUGUCACCCAUAAAUUCUCCAUUUGGAUUUAAUAAUCUUGGAGGUAGACUUAACAAUCUCUGUCGUGAUUUGAGUUUUAUUGAAGAGGCUGCAGAGAGAGAGAGGGGGAGAGACAGAGCGAGAGAGAGAUGCAGUGACACAAAUAGCUUCUCAGCGGACAGUCCCUCUCCGCAUGACAGUUAUGAAAUACAAUUAUCAGCAAGAUCUGCUUAAGAAUUCAUCAACUGCACCCUGCCUUCCAAGGAGAGAAGGGGAAAAAAUAUCCUACAUACAAAGCAAGUCUUAACUGAUAAGUCUUCUCUUUUCCCUGCAGCCCUUAAACUAUCAUUUCAAUUCCUCUGUCUCAGACACGUUAAGUCACUGUAAAGGUAUGGUACGCGUGUGUCUUUGAAAGCUCCCCGAGCCUUAUUUAAAGCAUAAAUCAUCAGGUAAUCAGGGACUACGUAAAUGACACACCGCACGCAAACCGGCACGAUAGCGAGCAUCUCGUUUGAAAUGUACAACCCGUUGGUUUGCGUCAGGGUCAAUAUUAGCAGUUAAUCUGUGCGUGCAGUGAAAACAUACUGUCAGUGAAUUGUACAACACACUGUCAGCUCUCAAAAGUAAGGCAAAUGAUUUCAAUCAGCUGUCGUCUAAUUGCAGUCGCAUCUUUUGAAACGGAUGAAGAACGGCCACUAUGUAGGUUGACAGUAUGCAUAAAAUUAGCAUAGCUUUGCAUAUUGCAAUUCCAUUAGUGGUAGUGUUAUUGGAGGCUUGGGCUUUCCUUCUUACUGCACAGUUGCAUUGUCUUAAAGGGACACGGGCAGGAUGAUAGUAAAAGAUAAGAAUCAUUAGGACUCAAAGCGGAGCUAAUUUCUACAUCAAAGAGCAGAAUCUCGCAGGAUAACGUCGUCCGAUACGAGGAAGGUGUUUUAUAAGAAAAGCGCUCUGACAAAAGACAGAUCUGAGAAAUGGAAAGGGGCUCUGUCUUUGCACGGAAUAUUAAUGGAAAGUCUUUCUGUGACCGUUUUUGGAAAAUGCCGGCGAAGCUUGUUAAACAUGUGCCUUUAACUACACUUUCCCCUGCGCGAGAUAUCGUCCUGAUCAAUGAUGCCUCGCCCGUGUGAAAAAUGACUAUAGCUGGAUUCACGGUAAAUGUUUUAGCUAUCAACACUCCUUCAUGGCCAAUCCCUCACUGACACUACAUCCUGGCGGCAGCCUGGUUAAAUCCGAGCCCGUCUUCUCCCCUCAGUGAUUGCAGUCGUCAGCCGGUGAUGUGUGGCUCCUGAGCCAUCGCGUCGCUUCUGGCUCAUCGGUUUCGGUGAGUUGCGAGCGCUAAUUCAGCGAGGUGGCGGAGAAAUUUUCUAAUAAUUUUGUGACACUCGAGCACCGCAAGAGGCCAGACCACAGACAGUUUGUUUACACUCACUUUGAUAAUGUAAUUAAGACCAGAGUAAAGCAACACAAAUUACUACAACUACCAUGUGAACUUUUUUUUAAUUAUAUGAAUUAAAGUCAUAAUCAGGGAGCAUCAAACUCAAUUAAGAGAGCUCGAUUACACGUCAAUCUCUUCCAUCACUCAUGUCAGUUUAAGUCUUUAUUAAGUCAAGGAAAGCAGUUUGUUUAAAGCGAUGCAAGGAUUCUUGAGGAAAGAGCCAACGUUUUGCUUCUUGAGCUUAGCAAUCUGACAAUUCACAGACUAGCCAUACUGUUCUGCAGUGAUGUACAGUGACCGUGCAUUAGUCACUGAUAUAUGUGUAAAUAUACUGCAUGUUUAAAACUGCAGCUACUGUAGGCACAAUCAGGUGGGUAUCAUUAAGCACACCCAGCUCUUUAAUGUGCAUUUAACCCUAAAAAAAUAUAAAUGCCACAAAUGCACACCAAGAAAACAAAUACAAUGUGUCUUUUAUACAAUUAAAUAAUCUAAUACAAUUUUUCUGCAUGCAAAACCUUAAUGCUGUUCAUGUCCAUGCAGUUCAUGCGUCUUCCACUCAAGCAGAAAGCCCCAAACAGAGAUGCCAUGGUGGUACUUUUUUCACUUAAAACAAACAUUUUGAGAAAUUAAUAUAUAAAAAACUUUGUUUGCAUUUACAAAUAUCUUUUUUUGGUCAAAUUUGAUAUUUCUAAGACAGCGGUCCCCAACCUUUUUUGCGCCACAGACUGGUUUAUGUCCGACAAUAUUUUCACGGACCAGCAUUUAAGGUGUUGCAGAUAAAUACAACAAAAUAAAA